GUGCCGGGCUCCAGGAGACGCAGGGCGACGCCACACGCCGGGGUGGCCGACUGGGUCAGCGCGGGCUGCGCCUCCUCGCCAUGGGCCCCCUCUCGGCGCGGCUGCUAAUGCAGCGCGGGCGCCCCAAGAGCGACCGGCUGGGGAAGAUCCGGAGUCUGGAUGGUGUGGAGUCGGGAGUAGUGGCGCGCGCUUCUAGUCCCAGCUACUCGAGAGGCUGAGGCGGGAGGAUCCCUCAGCCCAGGAGUUGGAGGCAGCUCCUGUCAGGAUUGGAGCUGCUUUCCGAGCACCUGGACCCCAAACUCCUGUGCCGCCUGACGCAGCUGCAGGAGCUUGACCUGUCUAACAACCACCUGGAGACGCUGCCGGACAACCUGGGCCUGUCCCACCUGCGUGUCCUCCGCUGCGCCAACAACCAGCUGGGGGAUGUUACUGCCUUGUGCCAGUUCCCCAAGCUCGAGGAACUCAGCCUGGAGGGCAACCCCUUCCUGACGGUCAAUGACAACCUGAAAGUCUCCUUUCUCCUGCCCACGCUCCGUAAGGUCAAUGGCAAGGAUGCGUCCUCAACUUACUCUCAGGUGGAGAACCUGAAUCGGGAGCUGACCAGCAGGGUCACAGCUCACUGGGAGAAGUUCAUGGCCACACUGGG
rnacentral:lncRNA from 1 species